rnacentral:rRNA from 1 species
GACGUAGGGCGCGAGCGUUGUCCGGAUUUAUUGGGCGUAAAGAGCUCGUAGGCGGCUUGUCGCGUCGACCGUGAAAACUUGGGGCUCAACCCCAAGCCUGCGGUCGAUACGGGCAGGCUAGAGUUCGGUAGGGGAGACUGGAAUUCCUGGUGUAGCGGUGAAAUGCGCAGAUAUCAGGAGGAACACCGGUGGCGAAGGCGGGUCACUGGCCCGGUACUGACGCUGAGGUGCGAAAGCGUGGGGAGCAAACAGG